rnacentral:rRNA from 1 species
AUGACGACGUACAGGGUGUGCUGCUUCCUCCGGCGGUUCCGGCCGGCGUCCAACGAGCCGUCGGAGGCCAUCGGCAACGUGUUUGAGGCGUACGACGGCGCCGACGGCGGCGGCAGCGCGCUCGGGGAGGAGGCGCUCAGGAGGUUCCUCCGGGAGGUGCAGGGAGAGGCCGGCGACGACGACGUAGAGGCGGCGGCGAGGGAGGUCCUGGCCUUCGCGGCGGAGCACCGGCUGCUCAAGAAGGGCGGCGGGCUCACCGUCGAGGGCUUCCACCGGUGGCUCUGCAGCGACGCCAACGCCGCCCUCCAUCCUCGCCGAGGGAAAAUGUCAGAUACUUUUCCAAGGAAGCAGCUUCUACGAUUUUCCAUGGUUUGA